UACGAAGGGGGCUAGCGUUGCUCGGAAUCACUGGGCGUAAAGGGCGCGUAGGCGGCCAUUCAAGUCGGAGGUGAAAGCCCAGGGCUCAACCCUGGAAUUGCCUUCGAUACUGUUUGGCUAGAGACCGGAAGAGGUAAGUGGAACUGCGAGUGUAGAGGUGAGAUUCGUAGAUAUUCGCAAGAACACCAGUGGCGAAGGCGGCUAACUGGUCCGGUUCUGACGCUGAGGCGCGAAAGCGUGGGGAGCAAACAGG
rnacentral:rRNA from 1 species